AUGUGCUCAUUUUGCACGAAUGUGGAAACUGUUAAUCAUCUCUUUUUCACUUGUCCGCUCGCCCGCACAGUCUGGGACGUGCUGGGGUUGACAGCAGGGGCCUCUUGUGCCCCUAGGUCUAUUUGGCAAUGCUUUGCUUGGUUGUACAAGCUCUUUCCAGGAGGGAAGAAAUUAUAUAUGAUGAUUAUUGCGGCCGUGUGCUGGGCAGUUUGGUGCCUUCGUAACAAAACUACUUUUGAUAAGUAUAAUGCUCGUACUCCUUUGGGGGCUGUCUUCACCGUUUGCUCUUUUAUGUUAUACUGGGUAGGGCUGCUUAAGGAGGAAGACAAGACGAAAUUCCAGGCUGGUGUGAAGAGGCUUGUUCAUGUGGCGACUACUCUGGCGGACAGAUCAUAUGCGCGCGGCAGGCUGCUCCUGGGAGAUGGGGAUGGUAUUCAGAUUGUAUAG
rnacentral:rRNA from 1 species